rnacentral:rRNA from 1 species
AGUCGAGCGGAAACGAGAAUAGCUUGCUAUUCGGCGUCGAGCGGCGGACGGGUGAGUAAUGCUUGGGAAUAUGCCUUUGAGUGGGGGACAACAGUUGGAAACGACUGCUAAUACCGCAUAACGUCUACGGACCAAAGGGGGGGAUCUUCGGACCUCUCGCUCAUUGAUUAGCCCAAGUGAGAUUAGCUAGUUGGUAAGGUAAUGGCUUACCAAGGCGACGAUCUCUAGCUGGUUUGAGAGGAUGAUCAGCCACACUGGGACUGAGACACGGCCCAGACUCCUACGGGAGGCAGCAGUGGGGAAUAUUGCACAAUGGGCGAAAGCCUGAUGCAGCCAUGCCGCGUGUGUGAAGAAGGCCUUCGGGUUGUAAAGCACUUUCAGCGAGGAGGAAAGGGUGUUGUUUAAUACGCAACAUCUGUGACGUUACUCGCAGAAGAAGCACCGGCUAACUUCGUGCCAGCAGCCGCGGUAAUACGAGGGGUGCAAGCGUUAAUCGGAAUUACUGGGCGUAAAGCGUGCGUAGGUGGUUUGUUAAGCAAGAUGUGAAAGCCCCGGGCUCAACCUGGGAACUGCAUUUUGAACUGGCAAACUAGAGUAUUGUAGAGGGUAGUGGAAUUUCCAGUGUAGCGGUGAAAUGCGUAGAGAUUGGAAGGAACAUCAGUGGCGAAGGCGGCUACCUGGACAAAUACUGACACUGAGGCACGAAAGCGUGGGGAGCAAACAGGAUUAGAUACCCUGGUAGUCCACGCCGUAAACGAUGUCAACUAGCCGUCUGUGACCUUGAGUCGUGGGUGGCGCAGCUAACGCACUAAGUUGACCGCCUGGGGAGUACGGCCGCAAGGUUAAAACUCAAAUGAAUUGACGGGGGCCCGCACAAGCGGUGGAGCAUGUGGUUUAAUUCGAUGCAACGCGAAGAACCUUACCAUCCCUUGACAUCCAGA